rnacentral:rRNA from 1 species
GACGAACGCUGGCGGCGUGCUUAACACAUGCAAGUCGAACGGAAAGGCCCUGCUUUUGUGGGGUGCUCAAGUGGCGAACGGGUGAGUAACACGUGAGUAACCUGCCCUUGACUUUGGGAUAACUUCAGGAAACUGGGGCUAAUAACGGAUAGGAGCUCCUGCUGCAUGGUGGGGGUUGGAAAGUUUCGGCGGCUGGGGAUGGACUCGCGGCUUAUAAGCUUGUUGGUGGGGUAGUGGCUUACCAAGGCUUUGACGGGUAGACGGCCUGAGAGUGUGACCGGCCACAUUGGGACUGAGAUACGGCCCAGCCUGCUACGGGAGGCAGCAGUCGGGAAUAUUGCACAAUGGUCGGAAGCCUGAUGCAGCCACUCCGCGUGCGGGAUGACGGCCUUCGGUUUGUAAACCGCUUUCGCCUGUGACGAAGCGUGAGUGACGGUAAUGGGUAAAGAAGCACCGGCUAACUACGUG